CCCUCACACAGGCGGGCCGCCCACGGGCCCCGCGCAGGCGUGUGGAGAGCUGCGCAGCGGGAAAGCGGGUCUUGCCUUGUUUUGCAAAUCGCAAUAUCCCAGAACGGCUGAGGUUGGAAGGAACCGCAGCGGGUCAGCUGGUCCAAACUCAUCCUACAGCACAUGACACAGGAUCCCAUCCAGAUGAUUCUUGAAUAUCUCAAAUGAGGGAGACUCCACAACUUCCCUGGGCAACCUGUUCCAGUGCAUGGUCACCCACACAAUACAGUUUUUCCUCGUGUGGAGUUGGAACUUCCCGUGCAUCAAGUUAUUCCCAUUGCCUCUUGUCCUGUUGCUUAGCACCACCAAGCAGAGCCUGGCUCCAUUCUCUGACACCCUCCCUUCAGAUACUGAUAGACAUUGAAGAAGCCCACACUCGAGGCUGAACAGCUACCUCAGCCUUUCCUCAUAAGAAAGAUGCUCCGGUUGACUAUUCAUCCUUGUUGCACUCCUCUGGUUGCUCCAGGAGCUCCACGUCUCUUGUACUGAGGAAUAAAGAACUGAACACACCACUUCUGAUGCAGUCCCACCAGGGCUGAGUAGAGGAGCAGAAUCAACCCCCUCAAUCUGCUGACAAUGCUCUUCCCCAGGACACCACUGGUGCUCUCGGCCACAGGGGCACUGCCUGGGCUCAUGGACAGCUUGUUGUCCACGAGGACCCCCAGGUCUUUCUCUGAAGAGCUGCUUUCCAGCAGGUCAGUGGUAAUGAUAAGCUUUUACCCCAAAGUGCGGAACCUGAUGUAUGUCUGCAUUUUUUUUCCCAGUCCUUCAUGUCAGUGAAGAACUUGGAAACUGGCAGAAGCACUCCAGGAUUAAGGAUAAUUUUUUGGUCAUGGAAUAGUCAAUGGUGAGGCUUACUUUACUGCAUUUUGGGGCAGGGGGGUCAUGCCCACCUAUAGUUCAGCAUUUUAAAUCCUUUUUUGGGUCACAUCUGAAUUAUUCGGUUUCAUUUUUUGUCCUAAAGUCAGUAGGAAUUAGAAUGGUGUAUGAAUCACACAGCUGUUGUUCCCCAAUCAUCUAUAAGUGAAAUAAUAACUCACUUUGGGAAGGUCUUGGGACUGUAUUGCAUUAAAGCUUACUGGUUAAAUAACAAUGGGUAAUGUCCAAUGAGACUGCUAAUGAAAGUAAUUACUCCAAAGGUAAUCAGUUGAGACAAGAGUGCCCUCUGUUUACAUCCUGAAGGCAAGUUCAUUGUAUGUGUUGUACAUGUGCAAGACUCUGGACUCUGCUGGGAAGUUCAGUGCUUAAAGUUCAUGUUAACUUGGUCUUACUUUUAUUCACACAGGCAAAAGCAUCUCUAUUAAAUGAUCUAUUUAUCUGAACCUCCUUUACUAAUGGCAUAAAUAUGGGAUUAUUUAAGAAAAACAUUUCUAAUGUAUAAAGGUCCUGUGUAUUUCUAUUGGCAUCUGCUUUGCUUUGGAGACAGGAGCAAAGUGCUGAGGAGCAAUUUGCUAGAAGGCAUCUACUGGACUUACCAAGUGAUUAACUUACUCCAUUCUGCCUUUUUUCAUGCACUUGCUUUAUUCUAUAUGUAAUAAUCUGAAAAUUAAUUAGUUGUAGUUCAAUACUGACUUUGUUUCUGGUGGGAUGAUUUAGUCAUUAGACUUACCUAGUCUUUAACAAGUGUCCAAACAUUGCUUUUCAGCAAUAUAAAAUAUAAAUUGUUUCUGUCAUUGAAUUAACCCAAUUCAGGGAAGGGAACAGCAAUGCUUUUUGAGUGUAUUGGAAUGCUUCCUUCCUUUCACAGGAGGAGAAGGGAUGGGAUGUACUUGCUGGGGGAACCACAACUUACAUUGAGUAUAAUUCUGAUUUCCAAACUCAAUUGUGCCAAGUUUGUUUUCCUCAGCUCUGAAGAGGUGAACAAGGUGGUUCUUCCAAGGCUUCUUGGAAGAACAAAGCUUCUUACAAGGUGUAUUAGCUGUUCUUGAUCAAACUUGGAACAACCUGAGGCUACUGUGACUUAAGCAGGAGCCAGGUCAGCUUGUGCAUUAUGUUCUUUGUUCUUUCUGCCCCUUGCACAAGUGUAGAAAUAGGUACAAAUAUAGGCAUCCAGCACUGGGAAACAGCUUCUGGUAAAAGCAGAGCUGAAAAUGAGGGAACAGCCCAAGUAAUCACAAAAAUCUGAUUUUGCUGGUGCUGGCCCUGGUGCUGGUUAAUAUGUGACUAGCAGGAGAAUUAAGAGCCUUUUGAGAGAAGAAAGUAACACAAUGGCUAUGAUCCUUCAUAAUGGGCAUAGAUAUGUUUUACAUAGUUAUGUAUGACUUGUGCUUGCAUAUAUGCUAACUUCUCAUGUCAUAGAUAUGACUGCCUGUAGUAACUCCUCAAAGCCCUAACCUGGACUAUGUAGUAAGCUUUUUAUAGCACAGGUUUCUCUCAGUUACUUUCUUAUCUUAGUUUGGCCUUUUGCCCUUAAAAAUUAUGUUAUUUCAUUUCAGAUCAAAUAUCAGUCAGUGUUAACUCUUAACUGUAUGAAAAAGGUAGAGCUGAAAAUUCCCACCAGCACUCCCGAAGGUACUGGCUAGAACAUGUAACAGAAACAGUGGAAAUAAUUAACCAGAACUACCCACACUAGGCUCCAAGGUACACAGAAUUGCAGUCAUUGUUCUGUUCUCUUGGUAUGAGCUGCCAUGCCUGCUUUCCUUGCACUGAUAGUUCUCUAGGCUUGGAGAUUAAAUUACUCUGAUUCCUUGGCCUGAAUCCUACUUCUAAUGGAAGUAAGUGACUGACGUAGUCUGAUUUUGGGUACCUUGUUGUGUACCUGAUAUUGUGGAAUUAAACUGUCUUGUCUUCUACUCUGUACUGCUGGAAAAAUAACUGGCAGGUACUUCUGAAUAAAUUGUCACAAAUGCUUUCUGUGAAGCACUUCCCAGAGACAGCUUCUCAGUGUUGUUAAAAUGGAAACAGCCUGGAUGCACAAGUGAAAGUCUGCACAAAAAAUGCAGCAGUAGAAUUAAGAACUCUGGUUUACAUGGAAUCCUGCCUGCAUAAUUUGAAAAAUAAUAUCCCUGGUUUUGGCCAGUGGCUGCAACAGUUUAUUCUUACAAUAAGUAUACUAAUAUAAUUAACACACCAUUUAGAGUGUAGCAGUGUGCUGAUGUUCACUGAUGAUGUUCUUAUAAUACUUUAAAAAUCACCUGUUGAAGUAACCUUUAAUAAAGUUUGUGGAAGUUUGAUACUGUUACUUCACGUUUGACUUCCCUGGGGGCAGAGGUUGUGUACCGGUUGGGCUCUAGCAGCCUAAAGAGCUGCACAGUGAGCAGACAGCUGGUUGCUGUUAGUGCUUACAUCCCUAAUCUUGCUUUCUGGGUAUCCUCACACUCUGAAACUUCUGCCUAUUGUAAAAUGUGGGUUGCCUAUCUGUGUACUACCAAAAUAAAUACUGCAAUUCUGCCUAAAGAUGUGUGCUGAAAAAAAUAUAGAAAAUUUGACAGCUUGAGAGAUACUUUCCAUAAGACAGAAGUCCAUGAGUCUAUGAGUUAAGGUUUAACCAUAAAAUGUUCAGGUGAUGAACUCACUGCUGCUAUCUGAUUCCAUAGAUCAAUGUGUUAUAAAUUUGUAUUGUGAUAUUGGCUUUCGCAGAUGAAUAUUAUAUAUUAAAUACUUUUUAGCUAUGUAUGUACUUUUUUGCUAACAAGUCUUAGGUUUAAAAAAGAUUUCCUAGGUACAAGGCAAAGAAACCCCAGAGGGCAAGGACA